UACGAGGGGGGCAAAUGUUGUUCGGAAUCACUGGGCGUAAAGGGAGCGUAGGCGGGCGCUUAAGUUAGGUGUUUAAUCCCGGGGCCCAACCCCGGACAGGCACCUAAAACUGGGCGUCUUGAAUAGUGGAGAGGUCGGUGGAAUUGGGGGUGUAGCGGUGGAAUGCGUAGAGAUCCCCAGGAACACCAGUUGCGAAGGCGGCCGACUGGACACAUAUUGACGCUGAGGCUCGAAAGCAUGGGGAGCAAACAGG
rnacentral:rRNA from 1 species